GGUGUUGUAGUGUAAUGGUAUCACAACACGUUGUGGAUGCACAACGCCGUGUUAAUCUGAGUUCGAUUCUCAGCAACGCCA